rnacentral:rRNA from 1 species
UACGGGGGGGGCACGCGUUGUUCGGAAUUACUGGGCGUAAAGGGCGCGUAGGCGGCCAUCUAAGUCAGACGUGAAAUCCCCCGGCUUAACCUGGGAACUGCGUCUGAUACUGGAAGGCUUGAGUAUGGGAGAGGGAUGUAGAAUUCCAGGUGUAGCGGUGAAAUGCGUAGAUAUCUGGAGGAAUACCGGUGGCGAAGGCGGCAUCCUGGACCAUUACUGACGCUGAGGCGCGAAAGCUAGGGGAGCAAACGGG